CACCCACCAGCCUCAUACCCCCUCUCCUCCCCCCAGCCACAUACACCCUCCCCUCGUCUCCCUCCACAUGUGUGGAAUUAAAUCGCUCCUGGUUCCUCUAGUCUGCUGAGGGCCUCCUGGCUGCUGAUGCUGCUGCUGCUGCUGCCCAGCUGUGUGUGGCCUGCCUGGGCCAGCCUGGGCUCUGAUUACUGGCCAUCUGCAGCAGCAGGAGCCACCCUGAGGACAGACAGACAGCUCUCUAACCCCUGCCUAAAGGCCAGCUCAUCUCUGUGGCUGAGGACAUCGGGAGAGGAAGUCAGUUUACUAGUCGAAAAUAGACGUUUGUCCAAGGACACCAAGACGUGACACUGUGAUAUCUUGUUGACACUGAAACUCGAUGUACUAGUGGUGACUAACGUGUCUACAUGAUCCCACCUGCUCAGCGGUGAAGUCAUUAUAGUGGGAACGAGCGGUGCCAGAUUACUGUGACCUGCAGCCCCCUCCAGAUGGACGCUCUCCCAGCUGGCUAACUCCUUUUAAGGAGCUUCAUUAUUACCAUGCCGCUCUUUGGUUAGGUUACACACACAGGGAUGUACACACACACACACACACACACACACACACAGGGAUGUACACAAGCGUACAAACACACACAUACACACAUUCCUUUGUGCCCAUCUCCUUUGCCAUCUCAGAGGAGGCAGUAGGGAGGAGAGGGGGCAGUGCGUGGGGG
rnacentral:lncRNA from 1 species